rnacentral:lncRNA from 1 species
CCUGGCCUUCGGCCUCAACAACAAAAGCGGCCGGACGGCGUCGUUCGUCCACGGAGUCCACGGCAAGAACGUGUACUAGAAAAACCUUCAGACGUAAUGGCGUUCCUUCGAAAUCGAUUGCUGGAGAAUUUCGUGGCUACACGCACCAUCUACGGCAUGGACGGACAUGCAUCAGGGAAGAUAGAUCAAGAGAUUUUCGUGCUGAUAACGUGUUAGAGUAAAACGAGAUUGAAUGAAAGUGAAUGGACGAUUAGUCCUCUUUCUAUUGAUUCUCAAGUAUAUAUACAUCUGGAAG